AACGAACGCUGGCGGCAGGCCUAACACAUGCAAGUCGAGCGGUAGCACAGAGAGCUUGCUCUCGGGUGACGAGCGGCGGACGGGUGAGUAAUGUCUGGGAAACUGCCUGAUGGAGGGGGAUAACUACUGGAAACGGUAGCUAAUACAGCAUAACGUCGCAAGACCAAAGUGGGGGACCUUCGGGCCUCAUGCAAUCAGACGUGCCCAGAUGGGAUUAGCUGGUAGGUGGGGUAACGGCUCACCUAGGCGACGAUCCCUAGCUGGUCUGAGAGGAUGACCAGCCACACUGGAACUGAGACACGGUCCAGACUCCUACGGGAGGCAGCAGUGGGGAAUAUUGCACAAUGGGCGCAAGCCUGAUGCAGCCAUGCCGCGUGUGUGAAGAAGGCCUUCGGGUUGUAAAGCACUUUCAGCGGGGAGGAAGGCAUUAAGGUUAAUAACCUUAGUGAUUGACGUUACCCGCAGAAGAAGCACCGGCUAACUCCGUGCCAGCCGCCGCCGUAACAC
rnacentral:rRNA from 1 species